rnacentral:rRNA from 1 species
AGUCGAGCGGUAGAGAGAAGCUUGCUUCUCUUGAGAGCGGCGGACGGSYYWKUAAUGCCUAGGAAUCUGCCUGGUAGUGGGGGAUAACGUUCGGAAACGGACGCUAAUACCGCAUACGUCCUAYKGGAGAAAGCAGGGGACCUUCGGGCCUUGCGCUAUCAGAUGAGCCUAGGUCGGAUUAGCUAGUUGGUGGGGUAAUGGCUCACCAAGGCGACGAUCCGUAACUGGUCUGAGAGGAUGAUCAGUCACACUGGAACUGAGACACGGUCCAGACUCCUACGGGAGGCAGCAGUGGGGAAUAUUGGACAAUGGGCGAAAGCCUGAUCCAGCCAUGCCGCGUGUGUGAAGAAGGUCUUCGGAUUGUAAAGCACUUUAAGUUGGGAGGAAGGGUUGUAGAUUAAUACUCUGCAAUUUUGACGUUACCGACAGAAUAAGCACCGGCUAACUCUGUGCCAGCAGCCGCGGUAAUACAGAGGGUGCAAGCGUUAAUCGGAAUUACUGGGCGUAAAGCGCGCGUA